rnacentral:miRNA from 1 species
AAUGGACUAAAGAGAAAGGGGCCG